rnacentral:snoRNA from 1 species
UAGCAAAGAAGAAAGCUGUGCUCUUGUGGUGAUUUGGGUCUCCAUAUCUUGUCUGAUCUUAAUCCGAUGACAAACGGCGCCUCUGAGCUU